UGGAUAGCUCAGUCGGUAGAGCAGAGGACUGAAAAUCCUCGUGUCGCUGGUUCGAUUCCGGCUCCA
rnacentral:tRNA from 1 species